GACUGUUAAUAAAGUAUUUGAAAAGGAGUGUUAAACAUCAAGUUUUUAAUGAAGUUUGUGAUUCAAAGUGUGAAAAAUUGAACCAUUAAUAUAUCUAACAAAAUUAUAGAUGCUUUAAUAACCCACGUUGCUGAAGGAGUUUGUGAGCGGAGGUAAGCUGGACUGUUAAUAAAGUAUUUGAAAAGGAGUGUUAAACAUCAAGUUUUUAAUGAAGUUUGUGAUUCAAAGUAUGAAAAAUUGAACCAUUAGUAUAUCUAACAAGACAUUUUUUACUGACAAAAAAGCUAACUUUAUUCUGAAAAGAAUAAAAAACAGUAAAAAGGUUCUUUGAUGAUGUCAGGCCAGUUUUUAGUUCAUGCAGCAUUUGUUAUUGUCUUAUAAGAUUAUUGGAUAAAGUAAUUAAUGAGGAAUGUGUAACAUUACAGAAGCCAUGCAUGAAACCAACUGUUUCUUGUUCAGAAAUCAACCAGUAUUGGCAUAGUCAUCUAUCUGAGAAGGGAUAAAUUCUCAGCAUUGAUUUGCUACUCUGGACAGUUAACUAUCUAGUUUGAUGCUGGAAUGGAUGUUGGCAUGCUGACCAGAGUGGAAUUAACCAAUGCUAAUGUGGCAUCUGUCACACUGUGGCUGAAAGCACAAAUGAGGCUAAUUACAUACCUGAGCUAACUGAUUGGUUGAGUGAAUAUACUGAUGUAUUUUUGGAACCAGAUGGCUGAUUGGGUUGAAUAUUGGUGACUCAACAUCAUACAGACACAGGCAAUGUUUUUCCUGUAAAGCAACCAUUACAUGGGCUUCCUUGGAGUACAAGGUGAAUUGGCAAGAGAAACUGGACAGCAAAAGCAGGACUAAGACUGUUUUUAGCACAAGUAAUGCAUGUAUGAUUUUCGUGUCAUGCCAUUUGGCCUGUGUAACACACCAGCUAUUUCCGAGUGGCUGAUUCAUCUUAAAAUAGAGGGACAGGGUUAGGACAAAUGUCUGGAGAAGAGUAUUCUAUCACAGGAGAAAAACAGUUUUAAACUGAAACCAGGAAAAUGUUCUCUCAUGCUUGCUAAGUUGGAGUAUCUUGGUCAAGUUGUGGAGUGAGAUGGAGUAUUGAU